UUUGAUCCUGGCUCAGGAUGAACGCUAGCGGCAGGCUUAACACAUGCAAGUCGAGGGGUAGAAGUCUUCGGGCUUUGAGACCGGCGCACGGGUGCGUAACGCGUAUGCAAUCUGCCUUUCACAGAGGGAUAGCCCAGAGAAAUUUGGAUUAAUACCUCAUAGUAUUACGACUCGGCAUCGAGAUGUAAUUAAAGUCACAACGGUGAAAGAUGAGCAUGCGUCCCAUUAGCUAGUUGGUAAGGUAACGGCUUACCAAGGCUACGAUGGGUAGGGGUCCUGAGAGGGAGAUCCCCCACACUGGUACUGAGACACGGACCAGACUCCUACGGGAGGCAGCAGUGAGGAAUAUUGGUCAAUGGGCGCAAGCCUGAACCAGCCAUGCCGCGUGCAGGAUGACGGUCCUAUGGAUUGUAAACUGCUUUUGUACGAGAAGAAACACUGAUUCGUGAAUCAGCUUGACGGUAUCGUAAGAAUAAGGAUCGGCUAACUCCGUGCCAGCAGCCGCGGUAAUACGGAGGAUCCAAGCGUUAUCCGGAAUCAUGGGGUUUAA
rnacentral:rRNA from 1 species